rnacentral:rRNA from 1 species
CGGCCGCGUCGACGCUAAUACCGCAUGAGACCUGAGGGUGAAAGCGGGGAUCGCAAGACCUCGCGCAAGGGGAGCGGCCGAUGCCCGAUUAGCUAGUUGGUGAGGUAAAGGCUCACCAAGGCGACGAUCAGUAGCCGGUCUGAGAGGAUGAACGGCCACAUUGGGACUGAGACACGGCCCAGACUCCUACGGGAGGCAGCAGUGGGGAAUCUUCCGCAAUGGGCGAAAGCCU